GGCCGAAGGGUGAGUAAUGCAUAGGAAUCUACCUAGUAGUAUGGGAUAGCCACUAGAAAUGGUGGGUAAUACUGUAUAAUCCCUGCGGGGGAAAGAUUUAUCGCUAUUAGAUGAGCCUAUGUUAGAUUAGCUAGUUGGUAGGGUAAAGGCCUACCAAGGCAGUGAUCUAUAGCUGGUCUGAGAGGAUGAUCAGCCACAUUGGAACUGAGAUACGGUCCAGACUCCUACGGGAGGCAGCAGUGGGGAAUAUUGGACAAUGGGCGCAAGCCUGAUCCAGCUAUGCCGCGUGAGUGAGGAAGGCCUUAGGGUUGUAAAACUCUUUCAGUAGGGAAGAUAAUGACGGUACCUA
rnacentral:rRNA from 1 species